AUUAGUUAUGUCCUUUAAACCCAAAGAAUUUGGCGGUGUUUUAUUCUAAUUAGAGGAACUUGCUCCGUUAUCGAUAGUCCUCGUUAUAUCUUACUUGAUUUAUUUAGUAUGUAUACCGCCGUUAUAAGUUUAUUUUUUUAGAAUUUAUUUACUGGUAAUUUUAUUUUAUUUUAUUUCAGGUCAAGGUGCAGCUUAUAAUUAAGUGGAGGUGAGUUACAAUAUUGUUUGAAUAAAUGGAUUUUUUUUUGAAAUUUUUUAAUGAAGGUGGAUUUGAUGGUAAUUUUAUUUAUAGAUUUAUUUUGAAGUUAGCUCUAAAACAAGUACACAUCGCCCGAUC
rnacentral:rRNA from 1 species